CAGUUUGUGCGGGGCUGGCGGCAGGGAGCGAGCGAAAGGAGACGUGUGGGGGAGGGGCGGACGGGCUGACUGACUCUCGGGGGAUUUCUCUCGCCGUGGUCGUGUGCAGACAGUAACUGGGUGAAACUGGGGCCGGAGCACGAUGCCGCUCUGGCCGCUGCGCUAAUGUCAGAACCGGCUGCGCUGGGGAUGUGUAAGGUGGGUCACAGCAGCAGCAGUGGCUUUUUGAUUGGUACAUUUAAACAAGGGCGGGAGAGCUGUUGCCGUCUCGUGCGGAGAUGCACUUUGGAGCUCUGGGGCCUAAAACCCUCAACUUCAAAAUCAAAGGUUGGGCUGGAAAUGUUUUCCCUCCUGUUAUUUCAAAUAUGAUCGUUACUGAAGCCAUGAGAGAAAACAAAAUAUUAUGCCUUUGAAUUUGUCUAAUUUUUGCAUGUGACAGCACUUUGUACUUAGUCAGAGGCCCCUGCUGUUUAUGCUGGCAUUUCAGCCGGUAAUGGGGAAGAGGAAAAAUAUUUUUUAAAAACAUGGAAAUGUGUUUCUACAACCAUACGAACUGACUGAGGGAUUCAGGGACUUGGUUAGCAACUGAGACUAUUUAACUCUUUUUUUAAUUGACUUGAUUUCAGGUGUCCCUUUAAUGUUUGUAAACACUUUGAACCCUUACAAGUAUACCUAUAUUUUACACAUCAAAUACUCUUGGCCUAAUUCUCCACAGCUCUAUACAUUGCAUAAUCACUAUCUGUGCAAAAUAGGCAUAAGGCCUGGUCUACAUACACUAGUUGUGCCAAUGUAAUUCCUUACUCCUGUGCACUUCCCAGCCUAUGCAAAAGGACACACUUAAUUGUGCAAAUCCCACAACUGCUCCCUGCUGUGGAUUUCCCUACACUCAACUGGGACCCUGCCCUAUUGACCUGGAGCAAUCUGGGAUGGCAGGCUUUCUUAUUUCCAUUGCCAUCACUUCUCAGCUCUGAAAGCAGGUCUCACUCUAGUGUUAUGGCAAGGUAAGUUGGGCAAACUUGGCACACCACUCAGGAAUGUGGCCUUUCAGGUCCUGACGUUCAGCAGCCACUGCUGAUUGUCCCAGGUCUUAUAAUGAUUCAGCUCUUCUUGUACUGAGUGCAACUGCUCUGAAAAUAGAUCAAACACAAAUGUCUAAACAGCUUCAAAACAUGGAGUUCUCCUCAGGCGACUCCUUCCACCUCCAAGUUCAUUCAGUCAGCACUUCUGGAUCAGUCAGUAAGAAUUCUGUCCAGUAUAACAGGAUCUGCUUUCUUGUCACAAUAAUGAACUGAUGCAUUCCUCUGUGCUUACGGUUGUGAGCUGUUUGGAAAGGAAUGGGGACCAGCUGAGUUCUGGGAUAUGGUGGAAGAAAUAAUAGGUGAUUGACUUCUAUUCUCACAAUUCACUCAGAUGCCAGCAGAUAUCCUACAAUAUGCCAUGAAAAAGAGAUCCAUUUUCCCCUUACCAAGCAAGAGUGCCUUUAGGCUAAAGGUUUGUAAACUGCUGUGAGAUGUUCUAAUUAAAGGAGCUACAGAAUUGCAAACAUCACUUUGCUGUGAGCCAGAUUCUUCCAUCUGUCCUCCAGUAGUCUCAUUGGGGAAAAGAUACUACUUAACAACCAGUGCCUCAUUCAAGGUUCAGAAUGGACAGUGUUCUUAAUGUUUCUUUAACAAUUUUUGUGUGUGUGUAAUAUUUCAGUUACUUACUAGUUUCCAAUAUAAAAAUGUGUGUGACCAUUUUUCCAGGAACUCAAUCACUUAUGUUGUUUACAGCAGGCCUUUGAAAUUUGCCUGGCAAAAGUCCUUGGGUUAGAGAAGUCCCACAAAAUUCAGUUCAAGUCUAGCUGAGUUAUAAAUACUAAAAAUCACUAUUUCCUUUCUGCCACUUGCAUUCCCCAACAUUUUUUGACAGCAUGUCAAAAUAAUAAUCGAAUGUGAACAUUUGAAAGAGCAACCCACCACUGGAGCCAAUGCAGCAGCAGUAGCAAAUUAUACUCGGAAUACGUGGGAGUAGCUGUAGUGGCAGUGAGGAAAGAGCCAGACAGAGCUCCAGCCCCUCCCUGACAACAUCCCUGGAUUCAGCAAGAGGUCCCAGGAAUCCAUCUCCCCAGUGUAGGGACAAUCACCUCUCUCCAGUGUGAAAGAGGAGACAGUUGGGCUAUCUCCCAGAUCUAUCACAUACUGUCAGCAGCCCUUCAUUGUCUGGCAUAAGUAUUCUCCUACCAUUAACUAAUGUAAUUAGUCUAUAGGUCAAAUUGUAAUAGUCUGUGUUGAAGUACUGAAAGUUCAAACUCUGCUGUUGAUGCAACAUGAGGGGUGGAUGUGACAGGUGUAAAUAAUGGAAUUUGUUUUUACCUCCUUCCUUUAAAACUAGGAAAUUACUUAAAAAAAUACUCCAUUAAAAGAACUCUAGGUUGCAAAGUCAAUAACUCAAAAAUUUAUGAUUGCCCAUGCAUUCCUCCUUGUGUGAGUGCAUUAUGAUAUAGUCUUUAAUUACACGAUCCCAUACUGUUUUUUCCCUCUGGGUACUUGACUUACUCAGGGUACAAAUUGGAUGCACAAUAGGGCAUAAUUAAGUUUGUCCAAGCAACCAUAACUCUGGCAUUGCCCAGCUUUUGAGAGCUGGAUUUAAUUAAUCUUUUCUCUCUCUCUCUCUCUCUCUCUCUCUCUUAACAUAAUUAAAACUAAAUCAUGUAUGGAUUUUAUGCAAAUAUGGAUUUGGUGGAGGUACCUAUGCCGAUGGGAGGAAGCAUCUUCAAAAAAUACUUAGGUGUCUGCUUCCAAGAGAGGGUGAAUCCCAAGCAGAAAUAGGUUCCUCCCUCCAGCCUAGAUUUAGGUACCCAAGUCUGUGUGAAGAAUGGGGCUUAGGACACUCCCCUCUCAUCAGUAUCUCCCUUUGGCUAGUUUACACAGGUCCCCACUUAGCAUGCUGGCUUUGGCAAAUCCCGUUCUUAGGCACCUAUCUUUCCCCAUUCAUUAUAUAGAGAGCCUAGGUGCUAGACUCAGAUUUUGUGGAUUCCAGUGACUUUUUUUCUAGGCACCUAAAAGUUAGGUGUUGUAAUGCUUACAGUCAUAGUGCCUGAGUCCCUUUGUAAAUCUAGCCCUCAGUGUGUAGUAUCAGUCUUUCCUGGGUUGGGGAAACAGGCUACUAUGCUUAUACCUGGUUUUAUCCUAAUUUACAAAUUAAAACAAUGGAUCUUAACCCAAGAAAAACAGGGUUAUAAUAAAAAUGUUGUAGUCAUGAACUGUAGCUUUGCUGUCAGGUGUGACUGUAAUGAUACUUUUAUAAAACUCCAUAAAUAUAUGGAAUGGAUUCCAGCAUGUCUUAGUUUAGAAAUUUUAACAAACUCCCCCUUUUACUAAAAUGAAAACAUUUUUAAUGUGCUUUUGAAAAUCCCACAAGGUACUAGGUUAGGCACCUAUCUGAAUCUGUAGGUACCCAAAUAACUUUAAAAAUAUGGCCCCCUACCAUCUAUUUCCCUAUAGCCCUGUUCAAGGAAUAAUGACUUGUGCUUGUGCUAACCAAGGGUGCCAUGGCAACAAGGAUGCUCAGAACAAGUAGGGUGGGUGAAGAUAUUACUUAGCAACAAGGAUCUUCAGGUUGGAAAGCUCUGUUCCUAAUUGUGAAGGAGAAUGAAAGUCAAAAUCAGAAAAUGUAAAAACUCAGGGAGGGAAUGUGCAGUGACUGGUGAUGGUAAUGUGUUGGAAAGAAGUAUCAGAGGAAAGUCAGAGGGGCAUUAGUAUGAAAUCUUAGGGAAUAUAGGACCUUCUGAACAGACCUGGAACAAAUCAGAAAUAAAAAGGAACAGUAUGAGACAACAAUCGAACCAAACAGCACAGAGUGAAAUGAAACCAAAACCCAGAAUGGGAGUACAGAAAAGGGAAAUAGAAAACAAACAGUGUUGAAAGAGAAAAACAAAGAACUAUAAAACAGAAGAGAGAGUUUCAAUGUACAUAUCUAAUUACAGCUCUACUUAAGAACAUAAGAAUGACCAUGCUGGGUCAGACCAAUGGUCCAUCUAGCUCAGUAUCCUAUUUUCCAACAGUGGCCAGCACCAAAUAAUUCAGAGAGUAUUAAUAGAACAGGUCUAUUAUCAAGUGAUCCAUCCCCUGUCGUCUAGUCCCAGCUUCUAGCAGUCAGAGGUUUAGGGACACCGAGAUUAUGGGGUAGUGCCCCUGACCAUCUUGGCUAAUAGCCAUUUAUGGACCUAUCCUCCAUGAACUUAUUUAAUUCUUUUCUGAACCGAGUUAUACUUUUGGCCAUCACAGCAUCCGAUGGCAAUGAGUUCCACAGAUUAGUUGUGCAUUGUGUGAAAAAGUACUUCCUCUUGCUUGCAUUAAAUCUGAUGCCUAUUAAUA